rnacentral:rRNA from 1 species
AGCGAACGCGGAACAGCCCAAACCGCAUCCUACGGGGUGCGGGGUAGUAGGACCUGCGUAAUUUUUGUAAUCUUAAAUCGAAGCUGUCUGGAAAGCAGCGCCACAGAAGGUGAAAGCCCUGUAGGUGUACCGAUUACAAAAAGGCGGGUAUCCUGAGUAGCGCGAGACCGGUGAAAUCUUGCGUGAACCAGCCGGCACCAUCCGGUAAGGCUAAAUACAUCUGCAUGACCGAUAGUGAACCAGUACCGUGGGGGAAAGGUGAAAAGUACCCUG